UACCGGCUGCCUGCUGGGAGCCAGGCAGUUCCACAGUGGAACAAGCUUAACUUCCCUCAGCUGAAAGGAAUGCUCACCCCUCUGGCCAGCCUGCUGUCAGUGUGUACACUUGAAGACUCAGGGCCUCUCCUUGCUCAGCGCCACCUGUUCUUACACCGGUCUCUGACUUCUCAAAACUGGGUGCCGGAGAACGGGGGCUGGAGACGGACAUCUAUCCUGUAGGCACAGUCCUGAGACACAACUGGCUCCCAUGGAAACCAGGGGGCCCUGAGGGACUCUCUCUGGACAUCUUGAAUGAGACCCACGGAGGCGGUGAUUGAUGCAAAAGCAAGAGGAGUUUAAUCAUUUCGACAUGUUGGGACCACCCACUUCAAGGGGAGAUGACCCUGAACAGACUCUAACAGAACUAAGAAUACAGACACCUUGUUUGACACAGCCAUCCCCUGACACAUCCAAUAUGUCUCUGAGUCACCAGCCCAGCCUUUUGACAGUCUCAAAGAAAGACCAACCAAGAAAGUCCUUCAAUAGAAAAGACGCGGAUACACAUUUGAGCAUGGACUUUCAUCUGUUCAGUGCGCAGACCACCGAUUGGUAUUUCAUUACUGGUAACCCGAGCAAGCAGGCAAACAGGCCUUUCCAAUCUCCAAACACAACUUUUAGUUUAGAAAAUUCCAAAUAAAGCAGAAUAAUCAA
rnacentral:sRNA from 1 species